UCAAGAAACUUCCACAAUGGGCGAAAGCCUGAUGGAGCGACGUCGCGUGAUGGACGAAGUGCUUCGGCACGUAAACAUCUUUUAUGUGGGAUGAAAUUAUUGACAGUACCACAUGAAUAAGGGGCUCCUAACUCUGUGCCAGCAGGAGCGGUAAUACAGAGGCCCCAAGCGUUAUCCGGAAUCACUGGGCGUAAAGGGUGUCGAGGCGGUUGUAUUAGUCGUUCGUAAAAUCUACGAGCUUAACUUGUAGGCGGCGAACGAAACGGUACGACUUGAGGUUUGGAGAGGUGCGUGGAACUCACGGUGUAGGGGUGAAAUCCGUUGAUAUCGUGGGGAACACCAAAGGCGAAGGCAGCGCACUGGCCAAAAUCUGACGCUCACACACGAAAGCUAGGGUAGCGAAGAGGAUUAGAUACCCCUGUAGUCCCUGAG
rnacentral:rRNA from 1 species